rnacentral:rRNA from 1 species
CUCGUUCCCCACCGCUGAAAUCUUAUCCUCUCGACCUCUCGCCCCAUUUCUUCCUCUUCUUCCCCCUCCCUCUCACUUUCCUCAUCUCCAUUCGCCAGGCAACUGUGUCGACGGGAGACGUUGGAGACGAUGCACGGCAGGGUGUCUUGCUGCGAGAAGCUUCUGUCGUCCGGGCGCGCUUCGAUGCUGCCGGAGGAGGCGCUGUCGUCCUCGCCUGCGCGCGCAAGCUGCGGGUUUUUUGCAAGGCAGGGGCUCGCUGCUGCUAGCCCGCACGAGCUGGCUCCAAGGGCCGGGCGCUACAACUUGAGGAGCUCCAAGCCGACUACCUGUUGUGGCUCUCCGGAGUUACUCAUGCGACGCGGUGAGUGCUGUUUUGGUGGCCGGAGACGCUGUGCGUGUGGGGAUGGAAGUGAUCUUGUGGUUCUGUCAUCAGCAAAUCUAGUAGCCCAAAUCAUACUGUGUAUUGACACAUUUUCUAUUUCGCAAGGGGCCGCCCGUCCUCCUGCUGAUUGGAUUGUGCUUCUUCGUUCUGUUCCCUUCUUCCUCUGGUUGUUGAUGCCUCAAGCAGCCGCUGCCGAUUGUGUGCUUGUAGUUGUUUCUUCAGUUCCCUUCCUCUGCUUGUAGAUGCCUCAAGCAGCUGGUGUAUAUAAAUUGAUCCUAUUGAUUGCAAGGGAGCGAGGGAAGGAAAUCGCCAUGGAACAACCCCGCCGCCUUGGAGCUCGCCCCGCCUCCGGCCCACUGCCUCUCCGUCGGCCUCGUGCUCCUCCGCCUCGAUCCAUCCGCCCCGCCGCUGGAUCCACGCGGAGCAGGCCUAUCCGCCGCCCAGACCACCAACCAAGAGUCGCCUCUUGCUUGUCCUGCGGUCGGGAGGAGGACGACCGAGAGGAGCACACAUUCAUCCGCCGCCUUGGAGCUCGCCCUGCCUUCGGGCUGCCACCUCCCCGUUGGCCUCGAUCCGUCCGCCCCACCGCCCAGACCACCAACCAAGCGCCGCCUCUUCCCUGUCCUGUGGUCGCAGGUCGAAUAAUAAAAACUGCAGGGUCCUUUAUGUAAAAAUGAAUCAUUUUUUGGAUUAGCCACUUAAAAAUAGGACCGCGGGUCGAAUUAUCAGAAACAGAUGGGCUUUUUUGUAAAUCGCCAGCGACGACGUACGACCAGAAACCCACGGUGCUUUAUUAUUAGGUAGAGAUAUACUUUGCCGGACGGCUAGACCGAUAGAUAGUAUCCUUGCUCCAGAAUCCAGACAAUCAAUCGAGGCAGUGCACCUGAACCAUUAGCUAGCACCGUCGGCAAAUUAAGCUCGUCGACAAAUGGGGGUCAAGCUCACGCUCCCGCCGGCGGCACUGAUCUCCCAGGUGGCCAAGCUGGGCUCCCUCCUCGCUCUCCUCCUCCUCGCGCUGCUGCUGCCCGUCUUCCUCAGGGUCGCCUACGGCUACCUCCUCUUCAACGGCAUCGUCGUCGCGCUCGGCAUCCAGGCCUUCGUCGGCAGCGGCGGCGCUUCUACCGCCGACGACGAAGACCGGCACGGGUCUUCGAGUACCGGUCAGGCCGUCGCGCCUGUCAGCGUCGCGGCUUCACCGUUUCAGAGACCCGACGACCGGACGGCGGUUGCGCAUGAUGAUCGUGUCGUGCUGCCUGCCUUUGUAGCGAGCAAUAUAAUCGAGCUCAAGACCAAGACCAAGGAGGUGGUUCUGAAGGUGCUGAAGAAGUGCCCGUCGACGGCGAGCAUCUUCUUCCUCAGCGCGCUGAACGGCGGCCAGCAAGCCGGCGGAGAGGAAAAGGCACGGCAAGAGGAGGAGGAAGAUUGUGAAGUUGACAUGGACGGGGACGUGAAGAUGAGUCGGGAGGAGCUGUUUGCCAACACGGAGAGGUUCAUCGGCAACUUCCGCAAGGAGCUCAGCAUGCAGAGACAGUAGCACUACUCCAAGCUAGCUAGCAUAGAUAUUGUUUCUUAGCUUUCCUUAUUAUUUUUCUUUAGUUCUUGCGCCAUGAUAUAUAGGAGUAUGUUUAGUGGGACACGUCCUUACUCCACGCGUCUGUAACCCUGCUCAUAGGCUUAGGAUUUUCGGUGUGUUCAGUUUUUCAAAUUGACAUGAUCUUAUCAUUCGACACGAGUGAUGAGCUAUCUGAAAA